rnacentral:rRNA from 1 species
GUUCAACGGCCGCGGUAUCCUAACCGUGCGAAGGUAGCGUAAUCACUUGUUCUUUAAAUGAGGACUAGUAUGAAUGGCACCACGAAGGUUAUACUGUCUCCUUUCUCUAAUCAGUGAAACUAAUCUCCCCGUGAAGAAGCGGGGAUGAAAAUAUAAGACGAGAAGACCCUAUGGAGCUUCAAACAAAUAUACAACUGCCUAUUCCACUAAAAAUUUCAGAAGAAAAACACCUAUCCAGGCACUUUGAUAUAGAGUUUUAGGUUGGGGUGACCACGGAGUAAAAGACAACCUCCGUAAUGAAAGGGAACUUUCCCUAAACUAAGGACUACAACCCUAAGUAUCAAUAAAUUGACACCAAUUGACCCAAUACAUUUGACCAAUGAACCAAGUUACCCUAGGGAUAACAGCGCAAUCCACUUCAAGAGCCCCUAUCGACAAGUGGGUUUACGACCUCGAUGUUGGAUCAGGGUAUCCUAGUGGUGCAGCCGCUACUAACGGUUCGUUUGUUCAACGAUUAAAACCC